AUUGAACGCUGGCGGCAUGCUUUACACAUGCAAGUCGAACGGCAGCACAGGGAGCUUGCUCCCGGGUGGCGAGUGGCGCACGGGUGAGUAAUACAUCGGAACGUGUCCUGUUGUGGGGGAUAACUGCUCGAAAGGGUGGCUAAUACCGCAUGAGACCUGAGGGUGAAAGCGGGGGAUCGCAAGACCUCGCGCAAUUGGAGCGGCCGAUGCCCGAUUAGCUAGUUGGUGAGGUAAAGGCUCACCAAGGCGACGAUCGGUAGCCGACCUGAGAGGGUGAUCGGCCACAUUGGAACUGAGAUACGGUCCAA
rnacentral:rRNA from 1 species